rnacentral:snoRNA from 1 species
UUGAACAUGAUGCGAUAUUUAUCAACCGUGUUUCACCUGAAUAUCCAUUGAUUACAAUUGAUAAACUGAUUAU